AGCGAACGCUGGCGGCAGGCUUAACACAUGCAAGUCGAGCGCCUGUAGCAAUACAGGAGCGGCAGACGGGAGAGUAACACGUGGGAACGUACCCUUCAGUUCGGAACAACCAAGGGAAACUUUGGCUAAUACCGAAUACGUCCGUAAGGAGAAAGAUUUAUUCGCUGAAGGAUCGCCCGCCGUCUGAUUAGCUAGUUGGUGGGGUAAGUGGCUCACCAAGGCGACGAUCAGUAGCUGGUCUGAGAGGAUGAUCAGCCUCAUUGGGACUGAGACACGGCCCAAACUCCUACGGGAGGCAGCAGUGGGGAAUAUUGGACAAUGGGCGCAAGCCUGAUCCAGCCAUGCCGCGUGGAUGAUGAAGGCCCUAGGG
rnacentral:rRNA from 1 species